UCCGACCUCAGAUCGGACGAGAUUACCCGCUGAAUUUAAGCAUAUAACUAAGCGGAGGAAAAGAAACUAACAAGGA
rnacentral:rRNA from 2 species